rnacentral:rRNA from 1 species
AGCGAGCGUUAGCGGCAGGCUUAACACAUGCAAGUCGAACGAGAAAGUCACUUCGGUGGCGAGUAGAGCGGCGGACGGGUGAGUAACACGUGGGUAACCUACCCUUCAGCGGGGGACAACAAUUCGAAAGGAUUGCUAAUACCGCAUACGUCACCGGGAACUGCGGUUCCUGUUGGGAAAGCCGGGGAUCUUCGGACCCGGCACUGAAGGAGGGGCCCGCGGCGCAUCAGCUUGUUGGUGGGGUAAUGGCCUACCAAGGCAAAGACGCGUAGCUGGUCUGAGAGGAUGAUCAGCCACACUGGGACUGAGACACGGCCCAG